rnacentral:misc_RNA from 1 species
GAUGAAGAACGCAGCAAAAUGCGAUAAGUAAUGUGAAUUGCAGAAUUCAGUGAAUCAUCGAAUCUUUGAACGCACAUUGCGCCCGCCAGUAUUCUGGCGGGCAUGCCUGUUCGAGCGUCAUUUCAACCAUCAAGCCCCAGGCUUGUGUUGGGGACCUGCGGCUGCCGCAGGCCCUGAAAACCAGUGGCGGGCUCGCUGUCACACCGGGCGUAGUAGAUUUUAUCUCGCUCAGGGCGUGCUGCGGGUUCCGGCCGUUAAAAAGCCUUUUUUACCCAAGGUUGACCUCGGAUCAGGUAGGAAGACCCGCUGAACUUAAGCAUAUCAAUAAGCGGAGGA